GUUUUAAAAGAAACAUGUUAGCUAGUGUACUAAGAAGAAAAAGACAAAACGAAUUAGAUUUGAAAAAUCCAGCUUUAUGAUGUUCAAACCCAGUUAUGAUAUUAUAUAAUUUUGAAUUCUCAACGGUGUUGCGAGGAAGGACGUCAAUUGAAGAACAUCACUACAGUUGGGACCCAAUUGAAUGUUGGUCAAGUAAUUAGCGACAUGUUCUGGUCACAGUCUACGCGUUGAAUACAUCAAAAAGAUCGUGUCCCUGGAGUGCACCCAAAGAAAGAGGUUUCAAGAUACACAAAUUGUUUGCCCCAAUAGACUUAAAAACCAAUAGCUGGUGCACUGUAUGAUUUGAAAGAAAUCAGGGCAAAUUCAAGGCAGGCAAUAAACAUUGCAAAUCCUGGUGGCUUAAUACUGAUUGGAAUUAAAAUAGGUAAACAGAUAAACUAAGAAGUCUAUAGCCAAUGCUACGUUGAGGCGCUCCCAGCUACAGCUGUGGCAACAAGAAAUUGUACGCAGGACCUUUUAUUUUCGCUGGCGAACAGCGUAAUGAUGAAAAAGUUUGCGGGUGAUAAUAUUGCAACGUGUGCGUCCAGAAGAAAAGAGAAGAUUCCAUACCCUUGUCUAGGGUUACUUUGGUUUGACCCAGAGACCCAAUGGCCACAUUUCGAAGACUGCAAUGGUCAAUAGUGAAUCACAGCAAUUGGCGCAUCAUGGAGGGAUAAGUGCGGCCAGACAGCAACCGUUCUAGAGUGCUGUGGAACGAUGUCUCUGCUUGAUAAAAAGGCUUGGAAGCACUGAUCAAGCCUGGCAGCGAAUUUUAUACAAAUUGAUGAACACAAGAAUGUAAUGAGCACGCAUGCUCCAUCAAGUAAGCUGAAAAACAUUUCAAAAAAGUAACCAGUAAGAAUAAGCAGCUCAUUGUAUGCAAUAUGAGCAGCUGCAAGGCCUCUCAAGCUAUAGGGGCUUACCACCUUUGGCAGCUAUGUGAUGCAGAAAAAAUACAUUCAAGCCAAACAAGCAAAAAGCAGUAUAUUUUCUCAAAUAAAGCAACGAUGAAGGUAACUAUAAGGAGAGGGCUCCUGGGAAUCGAGCAAGCAGAUGUUUUUUGCAACCUUGCCCUUCAGAUUAGCUUAAAAUGCUUUUCAGAAUAUUUCUUGCCAUCAUUUCUUGCAGUCAUUUAAAACGAUUUGUUAUUUUUGAGCAAUCUUCUGCUACGUUUGAUGAAAUGGAACUCAGUAUUUUAUGAGGCCCCCAGAUCUCGAGGUCUUUGCCCCUCUCGGCGGCACUGGUCACACGGACAACACCCAAAGCCCACUAUAUUUUCAGGUUUUCUGAGAAAGGCUUUCACUGCUUCAGAGUAUUGUCCGGAAGAACGAUAGACACUUUGCCAGACUUUGUGUUCUAGAGACAAUUCCCAGCUUUUUCAUGCUUCUCUCGUUUGAUUUAGAUUAAGAAAAGAUAACUUUUAUUUUCAAGGUCUUCUAUUUAUGGACUUAAGGUCAGCUUGAUAUUUUGAUGCUGUCCCUGCCACUGAAAUUAGGGGCGUUUAUCUUUGGUUUUUGAACUAAAUCAUUGUAUUAUAUCCUUUUUAACUUUUAAAACUUUUAUAUACAAUUAGUAUGGCGAAUCAUUCAAACAUUAUACAUACACAUACACAAAUAGAUAAAUAAUCAAUUCAUUCUUGGUCAAUAUACACAGAAAUUUUACCAUAUUAUAGAAAACAUAUUUUAACUCGUGUACUGAAAUUAAUCUACACAUUCAGCCUUUGUUUAGUACCAAACUCUAACCCAAAGAAGGUUUACAACACCACUAUUAUGACUUGACCAGAAUUCCUUGGAAGUAUCAAUAAGAAACACCUGGAUGGCAGGCAUGCCCAUUUUUUUACCCGUGACACCCUUUGCUUACAGUUACUAAAGUCAUUUUACCCUGAAUGUCAUAGCUUGAUUGACAAGUGGUUCAGUUAAUGUGGAAAGAAUAUGUAGAAAUAUUUACUUUCUGAAUUCGUUGAGACAGCUUUUGGCACAAUUUUUUGGAAUUUCUUAAUUCAAUCAGGCAAGAGAGACUUGACCAUUUCACAGGAUAAAAAAUUCUGUACCCAAGAAAAUAGUAAUUACGUGGUAGCGACGUUUGAUUCAAUGAAGAUCUAGUUGAUUAGAUUCUUUAUUAGAGAUUAAAUAUUAGAUAUUUGAUUUGAUAUAGAGUAUUCGAAAAGCGGAUGGCUCAAAGUGUCCUUUAGGCUUCCUGUUUCUCCACCUUUCUUGAUAGCUAAACUAUUCGUUUUUUACAUUCACCAGCACAUUUCUUUACUAGUAUGAAAAAUAACAAUAACAGACCCAGAACAAGAUGAUUGCAAUUAUCAAAGUUUUUUUCCUGGUGAAAGACCAUGCUAAUUACGAAUUACUACUUUUCUUUUGAUCAAUAUUUUGCUCUGUUUCUUUUCUAAUGCAAUUAACAGCUACAUAUUUUCAUUUCAGUUUAUUUUCUUCAGACGUUUCAAAUAUAAAGGGUAAUAGUUGUGCAAAACUACUAAUACUAAUUGUAAGAAGAGAUGAAUUUGAUGUUCCAAUAGUUCAUGUUUGGGGGAGUUUUGCAAAUUUUGCUUUACUAUCUCAUCGAUAGGUUAUUCUUGCUGUCAGUUGGAAGGGUGGUCGAUUUGAUUUCGCUUCAAUAAAUUUGGAGUAUCGUUCCCAUUGGCUUAACGGAAACACCCUUGGUCCUUGGGCAAAAAAUUGAGACUAUCUACGGAUUGCUAGAAAAUGACAUAAUGGUGUUAAACAGAAAAAGAUAUAUAGAAGCUUCAGUUAAAGAACUUUUAAAAUUUUUGAAAAGGAAAUUUUAAAAUUUUUGAAAAUAAGCUGGGCUUGAAGGAAGUUUUAAGCAAAUUGAUAUGACAAUAAUUUUGAGGUCCCUUUCGAUCGGGGGCCUUUGGUUAUCAAACUAACAUGUAAUCCUCUCCACUGCGUUACGCCAUUGAUCGUUCCACACCUUUGCACCCAAGAAAAAGUAUCUUGCAAUUAACUAUCGUAGUUUCGAAAAAAUGUUUUUAGCUACUCUCUGUUUAAGUCUGUGAUCUGAGAUCUCCUCGUAAACUCUCCUUACAAACUUCACGGUCAUCAUGCUAAUUCUCUAGAAUACGCGGUUAAGCCCGAUAAUAUUUGACUUUACCGAGAGGCUUAAUAUGCGAGAAAGGCCUAAUACUGUGUCAUCUUAUCCACUAAUCACGGUCUUGUAAAUUCAGACAGCGCUAUUUGAAACUCCAGGAAAAGCGUCUAUAGGAUACUCCCUGAAAGAUGGAAUAACAGAUAUCGACAAAUCCGAUUUCAAAUUAUCUUACAUUCCGAUAGAAAUUCAUCUUUCUUGAAACAAAGCAUAGGCUGAAAAAAUCAGACUUGGGAAACGAUAACACUUACACCGAAAUGAAAAAGUUUGACACAGCCUUAAAAAUGAACUAGCAUUGGUGGAAACCAUUUUAAGUGGCCUAAGCAACUUGCCUACCGUCAUAAAAUAAUGGAAAGUUAAGACAAGGUCUAGACAUGAUGAUCUUCUCCUCACUUUUUAAGUAUCCUGCGCACCUUCAGUGCUCGACAUUCUCUCUUACAUUGACAAAUGCUCCAUUCAGGAGCCAUUUAGCUUUCAGAGAAUCACAGCAUUAGAUGCAUGCACCUAAAGAUUUUACGUUGCCCUUGAAACAAUUGCCCUUCCCAACGCUACAGAUCACAACAGUUGUUUUUAUUAGUGGUGGAACUGUAACUUAAUAUUGCUACAUACGACAUGAGUUUCUUUCAAAGUAGCAUCAACGCAAGAAGCCAUCUUUUAGCUGCAUUUGCAGCCAGUUAGAUUAACAUAAAGAGAUGUAUUUGAAGGAAAACUGCUUUUAACUUUUAACUUGCUAUCAAGAUUUUUCUUCAUACAUAAUUUCACAAGGCUUCUAACAAUGUCAAUGAACUAAGAUUCAAUAAGCAGCAUACAUAGUAAACUCUUCCCUUACUACAAUUUCUAUUUGCCUAGCGUCUAAUUUUGUACAUUAAGUGUCACCUAUCUUUAUAUAUAAAGCUAAUUGUCAUGGAUACUCUAAAAUAAAAGUCAAAACCCCUAUUAUUGCUUCGUCGGCAGCAAUAAAUCAAAUGCAACGAGAACUGCUUAAAUUUCAACCACUUUAAUUCACAACUACAUGAACAGAGUCAACAAUCUAACGAACUAUGCUAUAUCAACAAAAGCAUGAAUGGAUGCGGGG